rnacentral:tRNA from 2 species
GGUGGCGUGUCCGAGCGGCCGAAGGUGCUCGCCUCGAAAGCGAGUGUUGGGUAACCCCCAACCAGGGGUUCAAAUCCCCUCGCCACCGCCA